UAACACCUUCACGGCGCUUCAGCUCUCUCAGCAAGCAACACAAAGCGGCACACCUACUUUUCAAGCUCACCUUCCCCGUUGCUGCCGACACCCCACUGCCGACGCUGUUUCUGCUGACCGCUAUCCUUUCUCUCGUGCAACCAGCCCAUUGAGGGCACUGCCCGCAGCCAUGAGCGACAAGUUGGAGGCGAACAGGCGGCGCUCGAACUCGGAUAAGGAGCCCAUCCAUGACCUCGCGAAGAAGAAUGUCAUGGAGGACGAGGGAGACGCUCCGCCGUUCAUGUCGGCGAGCAACGCCAAGGUUAUGUUGGUGCAGGCCAUUGGUGGCAGCCUCAACGGCUACUCGAUCGGCUUUGUCGGCGUGUACUCAACGCUGUUUGGCUACAGCACGAACUGCGCGAACUUCCGCAGCGAGAGAGGCUGCACGACGGCGCCGAACGCCGACUGCCAGUGGUUUCCGAACGCGACUGGCACCGGCUACUGUGGCUGGCCCGAGAUCACGUGCCGCAGAACAUACACCUACUCGAGUGCUUCGGAAAUGCCGGGUGCGAUUACCCAGUGCGAGGCAGACCCGCGGUGCAGGUGGUCCUACAGCGCCAAGGAGUGCCAGAACCCGUCGGGCUACUCGUCGUCGGAAAGCGGUAUCUUCGCCGGCUCGAUGAUUGCCGGCUGCUUGAUCGGCUCCGUGUUUGCUGGCCCGCUUGCGUCGACGAUUGGCGCGAGGCUCUCGUUUCUGCUCGUUGGCCUCGUGGGUGUUGUGUCGUCCGUGAUGUGCCAUGUGUCGACCUCCGAGAACGAGUUUUGGGUGCUGAUUGUCGGCCGCUUCGCGAUUGGCCUGUUCCUGGGCGUGAUCGGUGUUGCGUGCCCUGUGUACACUGACCAGAACGCGCACCCGAAGUGGAAGCGCACGAUUGGUGUGAUGUUCCAGGUGUUCACGACACUGGGCAUCUUCGUUGCGGCGGCGGUUGGCCUUGCACUUGGCCAGAGCAUCUGGUUUGACCGCGACAAGGACCAGAUGGUGAUGGCGCGCAUGCAGGGCCUGUGCGCAUUCUCGACCCUGUUCAGCCUGCUGACGAUCCUGCUUGGGAUUGUGAUGAGCGAAUCGCGCGCGAAGUUCGGCGGCGACGAUGAGGAGGGCGGCAUUGAGCUGGACCCGAACGAGUACGGCUACGUCGAAAUGAUCCCGCGCCUGCUGAUGGGCGCCGUGAUGGCUGGCACGCUGCAGCUGACUGGCAUCAACGCUGUGAUGAACUACGCGCCGGCGAUCAUGGGCAGUCUUGGCCUGGCGCCGCUGGUGGGCAACUUCGUUGUGAUGCUGUGGAACUUCGUGACGACGCUUGCGUCGAUCCCGCUCUCGUACGUGUUCACGAUGCGCCAGCUGUUCCUCUUCGGCUCGCUCUUCACGUCGAGCAUGUGCCUGCUCAUGUGCGGUAUUCCCGUGUACCCUGGUGUCAGCAAGAAGACGGAGGUGAAGAACGGCGUGGCCAUCACUGGCAUCCUGCUGUUCAUUCUCGGCUUCGAGGUGUGCGUGGGCCCGUGCUACUACGUUCUGACGCAGGACAUGUUCCCGCUGUCGUUCCGCCCGCGCGGUGCGUCGUUCACGCAGGUGACCCAGUUCAUCUUCAACCUGAUCAUCAACGUGUGCUACCCGAUCGCGACCGAACACAUCUCUGGCGGCCCUUCAGGCAACCAGGACAAGGGCCAGGCCGUUGCCUUCAUCUUCUUCGGUUGCCUGGGCACUAUCUGCUUCAUCAUCCAGGUCUUCUUCCUGCACCCGUGGGACGAGAAGCGCGAUGGCAAGAAGAGGGCGGCGGCCCCGGCUGACGGGAAGAAGGAGCUGAGCUCCUCGCUCAGCGGCAACAGGGCUGAGUGAGCAGAAUGAGGAGGAUGCUGCAGUGGCCUUCCCGCCUUCUCUCUCGCGCCUCAGUCAGGGCCGUGUGCCCGUGACUAGACGUGCGUCGGCGCGCCGCGAUGGCUUCGACUCCGCUGGCCUUGACCGCGCUUGCGGGGAGCGCCGUGCCGCGCCAACGCACUUUUCGGUUGUGUUGCGUUGAUGAGACGUGCGCGCUGGUGGGAAUAAUAUGGGCUGUUGUGCUUGACAUGAUGUACACCUAGGCAUGUGCUGCUGCGCCGCGCCGCUCUCUGCAUGUCGGUGGCCGACAGCACUUGCAAGUUGGGGCGCAGCGUCAGGGAUGGGGCGGGGAGCUGCUGGGAUCGGGUACUUUUGUGCUUUCCUACGGUGCAUCCCUUGCCCUUCCGUUUCUGUGCUUCCCUCUCGAGGUCACACUCGCCAGGUGGUUGGCCGUGCACCGCAGCCGUGUACUUGUUUCCACUCACGUCCUUUCUCCCACCUCAUUGUUUUAAAGAAAACGAAAACGUUUUUUGUUUUUCCUUUCCCUUUUCUCUAACACCCCCUCCCUCUCCUGUCCUUUGCCCUCUUUUUCUCCUUUGUAUCCGUCGAUGCGUGUUCUGUGCUCCCAUUGUGACGUGCCUCGUUCUCCCUUCGCGUGCGGUCAUACGAGUGUUGCGCGUGCGCUCGUCGAACAGUGCCCGACUCGUGUCGUUGGUGUUGCCCCCCCCCCCCCCCCCCCCAUGUCCUCUCCUCCCGCCCCCCACGCGCGCUCGUUCAGACUCUUUCGUCUUUUGCACGAGCUGGAAGACGGUGCCUGCGCGGCGUUGCCUGCUGCCGGUGCUGGUGGCGCGGAGGAUGGGAGGUGCGGUGCGAGCGGGCGGGGGUGGCGCGCGACGAGCGCAAGGGACGGCAGUAUCCAAAAGAUGAAAAGCGGUACCUUCUCUCUUUCUUUUCAUUAGUAUCGCGUGCGCAGGGGUGCGGCGCGUGCGGACGGGAACGAUGCCUGCUGGAGACGGCCGUCUCGGCUGCGCGCAGACGCCGGUGUGCCCUGACGCGGCGCGAGAAAAGAUUGUGAGCGAAGAGGAUGGUUAGAGGCUUCGCUGUUUCACUCUAUCAAAAGCAAAUGGACGCGUGCUCCUCUCUCUACUCGUUUCUCUCGCCGUCCUUUCGGGCGGCCUGCGCAAGCCUCACGGCGCACGCAAGCGAAGGCGAGAUGGCCAGCGUGAUGCGCCUCCGAGGGACCGCAGAGCGUGGCGCUGACCUCCUCUCAAUUUGCACACGUGAGUAGAACCAGUGGAGCGCUUUCGUCGUUUCGUUUCUGUCUUGUUUUCUCUCGCCUUUAGCUGCCGCUGUCACCGUCCCACCUGAAUGGGUGCAGGAUCGCGGAAAGGCACAUCGCCUCUCUUGCUAACUGUUCCUGGACUUCACUGAGUGUUCG
rnacentral:misc_RNA from 1 species